rnacentral:rRNA from 1 species
AGAGCGAACGCUGGCGGCAUGCUUAACACAUGCAAGUCGCACGGGCAGGGGAAACCCUGUCAGUGGCGGACGGGUGAGUAACGCGUAGGUAUCUAUCCUUGGGUGGGGGAUAACGGUUGGAAACGACUGCUAAUACCGCAUGAUAACUGAGGUUUAAAGGCGCAAGUCGCCUGGGGAGGAGCCUGCGUACGAUUAGCUUGUUGGUGGGGUAAAGGCCUACCAAGGCGACGAUCGUUAGCUGGUCUGAGAGGAUGAUCAGCCACAUUGGGACUGAGACACGGCCCAAAACUCCUACGGGAGGCAGCAGUGGGGAAUAUUGGACAAUGGGCGAAAGCCUGAUCCAGCAAUGCCGCGUGUGUGAAGAAGGUCUUCGGAUUGUAAAGCACUUUCGACAGGGACGAUGAUGACGGUACCUGUAGAAGAAGCCCCGGCUAACUUCGUGCCAGCAGCCGC